rnacentral:lncRNA from 1 species
GUUUUGAAUUUCACGCUUCAGCACAGCAGCGCGCCUCCAAGGUUCCUCCAACUCCAAGUUUCCAACUCCACGCCAUUCCACCGUUCCACCGUUCACCGGCAUCGCGCGCCUGUCGUUCGCCUCUGCGCGUCUCUGCAGGCUGCAACAGCGUUCGCCUCUGCUGCUCUGCAUCUGUCGUGAUUCUCUCCGAUUUCCCGAGCUCCUCGCAGAGAGAUCUCGUUCACGGCAGUCGGCACCACCAGGCACCAGCCGCACCAGGUCCGGCAGACCGCCACCACUCCGGCCGCCGGCUUCUGAGUUCUGAACCUGCUCGCCAUCACCAUCAAUCAUUCAUAACUCAUAAGUAAUCUCUUCAUCCUUAUGCAGUAUUAUUCAUCCUUAGUCCUUAAUAUUUAUUCAUAGAUUAUUUACUCAAUUUUUUUUUUCUAUUUCGGAUGAGUUUGAAUUAGCAGUCCAUUUUUUUGCCCUUCGAUUAGGCCUACUAAUUUUGGCAGUGGCCUCAUAUAUUCAUAAUAUGGUGUCGUUUUGUAUGAGAUGAGUGGACUUGCAACAUUAUUAUAGAUUUAUAGGUAGUUUCUUGAGUUGAAAUAUUUAUGCAUGAAACGAAGGAGAUGUAAUUGUGUUCUGCUGAGCUCUUCCAUUCUAUAAUUCUCAAUGG